rnacentral:lncRNA from 12 species
GGUGGGGGUGAGGUGCCCAGGGCUGGGUGUGGAGGAGGACGGUCCAGAGGCCCCAGGGGUGGGCAGAGCAAGGCCCCCCGAGGUUGGAGCCCCUUCCCCGUGACCUCUGCCCACCUGCAGGCCCCCAGGAUGAGGGAAGGCCCCCCUGGGGCUCUCCUGGAGGGAGGGCUGGCCAGCCCCGCAGAGUCCCCACGGCUGGUGGGCCGGAGCUGUGGGCCGCUCGGGCCUGCGAAGUGGGGUGAGGGGAGUGGGCGGGAGGGGGGGUGUGGGGAGGGGGGAGGAGGGAGGGGGCGCGGAGGGGGCGGGCAGGGAGUCGGGGGCAGCCCCCCACAAGAGCUGCAGAGGAGGCCACCUGGAGCUGUUGGGGUGUCCGCUCCCUUGGGGGCCCCGCCCGCGGUGGGCGAGACGGCGAGGCCACAGGCGGGGGACACCCAGGCCCUGGGGCUGGAAGAGGCGGGAAGGGUCCUCCCCUGGAGCCUCUGGAGGGAGCCCCACGGGCUUCGGGCUCCUGCCGCCAGCACCCCAGCACGUCUCCCCGAGUGUGCAUUUGUCGCGUCAGCCCUGGGAAACCAAUGCCCCGGGACGCCAGCCCCGACCUCUGCCCUCGCCCAGCAUGCAGUGGCUUCGGGGAGGGCGGCGGUGAGCACGCGGGGGUGGUGAGCACAGGGGGGGCUUCGGGGAGGAGGGGUGGGCGCCGGCGGCCACGUCCACCCAGAGCAGUCGAGCUCCCGGGGGGUGACCGCAGCGCCCCCGCCCCCUGACCCGAGGCCGCUGCCCCCGCGGACACCCCUCCUGUGGGCCGCCCGAUGCUGCGGGGUGCGGGCGCCCCCUCAACCACAGCCGUGAGGCGCAGCGGGCGGGCCCGGAGUCGGCCGGGGCCUCAGUGGAACGAAGUCGGCCCUCGGGGAGCGGGUACCAGAAGCUCGGCCGCGUCUGAGCUAAGCCGGUCGCCCUCUGUAGGCUGAAGAGUCGUUGGCCGCGGACCUUUCAGCUUCUUUUU